GGUCAUCGCUGAAGUUCUUUUCCGAUCAACAACUCUGCUACGCCGAUAUCCUCACUCCCUCUGAGGUUCGGGCCAGAAUCGAAGUUGCAGUGCUCAAUUUUCUCAGGAUCUUGACUUCUCCUGAUCCUGCAAUCUCCGAUCUUCCUCUGAUAAAAAGGAAUUCGAGUAAUAGCAGAGUAAGUCGUGGAUUGUUGACUGAUCUUUCGUGGG
rnacentral:misc_RNA from 1 species